GAUGAAGAACGCAGCGAAAUGCGAUAAGUAAUGUGAAUUGCAGAAUUCAGUGAAUCAUCGAGUCUUUGAACGCACAUUGCGCCCCCUGGUAUUCCGGGGGGCAUGCCUGUCCGAGCGUCAUUGCUGCCCUCAAGCCCGGCUUGUGUGUUGGGUCUCGUCCCCCUUCCCGGGGGGACGGGCCCGAAAGGCAGCGGCGGCACCGCGUCCGGUCCUCGAGCGUAUGGGGCUUUGUCACCCGCUCUGUAGGCCCGGCCGGCGCUUGCCGAUCAACCAAAACUUUUUUCCAGGUUGACCUCGGAUCAGGUAGGGAUACCCGCUGAACUUAAGCAUAUCAAUAAGCGGAGGA
rnacentral:misc_RNA from 1 species